CCGGGCUGAGGUAGUAGGUUGUACAGUUGAGAAGGACACCUGUGGAGAUAACUGUACGGCUCACUAGCUUUCCCCGG
rfam:Sarcophilus harrisii ctg7180001431758, whole genome shotgun sequence.